GCUCUUUUCCUGAGUCUGCCCACCUGUGUCUAUGCAGGCGUCUCUUAAUAAACCAGUUCCUUCCAGGGCAGCUCUCCUCUCCACCUAUGACAAUGGAGGUCCCUCUCAUUUUCUUUCUCUAUUUCCCUACAAACCUGCCCUUUUGGAUAUUCUCUGCCUCACGGGGAAAUUUGCUGUGUGCUGCUGAAAGGGGAGCUCUGGUGAGACUUUUCUCAGGUAACCCAAGGACCUGCUCUCACCAGCAUCAGUCACACGAAGCAAUCCUGCUGUCGAGCUUUCGAGGAAGGAGGCUGGGCUGCAUUUUGAGCCUUUUCAGUGUGAGGAGACUGUGGGACAUUAAAAUGGAGGCAAAGUUCCCUUGGAAAUAAUAAGCCGGGAGAGAAACUGGCUGAGCGCGGAGCCGUGGGUCCUAACAAGGAAAGACAGAAGAAGAGGAGGCAGCAAAGGAGUCAGAAAGAGUGGACAAGAGAAACAAGUCACAGAGCAUUUUGACUUACCCAUAGUUAAGGCAGUGAACCUCACUAAUGCAGUGAACCUUCCGAUUCUUCAUCAGCUCCUCAGGUAAUGACACUAGCGAGAAGGAGGUUUGGCUUCACGAGAAAGGGCACACCACAGGCAAAGACCCUGUGAGGAGAGAUCUUAUCAAAGAGAGAAUCAAAGGAAGCUUCUGUGUUACGAUUUCCCAGACAACUUUUUGGAAUUCUGAAACAUGGAGCCAGAUUCCUGACCAUCAUGAUGAGGGUAUGCACUAAUGAUUGCUCCAAAAUAUCUCCAGGCUGUGUGGGCAAAAGCCAAACAGAUCUGUCACCUUUUCUUUGUGUUUUCAGAAGUUGAAGAUCCUUGUCACUUUUUUUAAUGUGUAAAUGUUGCUUGUUCAUCCUCUUGCCCAGAGGCAUACUUUGGGGAUUCAUAGGUAAACAGGAAAUACUUUCAACAGAACUCUAAAAAAUCGUUCUACUUUGGCAUAAGGACUUCAAAAAAACCUCAGUCAUUCAAGAAGCUGGAUCACCCUUUUUAUCAGAUGAAAAAUAAAUAUGGCAAUAUUGCUAAGAUGGUUAUUGUUAAAACUAAAUCCAGAAAUUGUAUGUGAUAGUGUUAUAUAAGAACACUGUCAAGGACGAUUUUCUCACAAAUAUCCCACUUCUGAAUUUAAUAUGAAUCUGUAAUAUAAGAGUGUUUUGUUGUUGAAAAUGCAAAUUGAAAUAGAGAUGGACUUAAGUCAGGA